rnacentral:rRNA from 1 species
UACGUAGGGGGCAAGCGUUGUCCGGAUUCAUUGGGCGUAAAGAGCGUGUAGGCGGCCAGGUAGGUCGGUUGUGAAAACUGGAGGCUCAACCUUCAGAGGUCGACCGAAACCAUCUGGCUAGAGUCCGGGAGAGGAGAGUGGAAUUCCGUGGUGUGAGCGGUGAAAUGCGCAGAUAUCAGGAGGAACACCCGUGGCGAAGGCGGCCUUCUGGGUCCGCCCUGACGCUGAGGCGC